rnacentral:rRNA from 1 species
CAGCCGCCGCGGGAAUACGUAGGGUGCAAGCGUUAAUCGGAAUUACUGGGCGUAAAGCGUGCGCAGGCGGUUCGUUAAGACAGAUGUGAAAUCCCCGGGCUUAACCUGGGAACUGCAUUUGUGACUGGCGGGCUAGAGUAUGGCAGAGGGGGGUAGAACUCCACGUGUAGCAGUGAAAUGCGUAGAGAUGUGGAGGAAUACCGAUGGCGAAGGCAGCCCCCUGGGCCAAUACUGACGCCCAUGCACGAAAGCGUGGGGAGCAAACAGGAUUAGAUACCCGCGUAGUCCCUGUCUCUUAUAC